CCAAUAGCGUAUAUUAAAGUUGUUGCAGUUAAAAAGCUCGUAGUUGAACUUCGGGGUUUACUCAUUGGUCAGGCUUAAUUGUCUGUACUGGUGAGCUGAAUCUCUACCUUCUGAGGAACUUUCAUGCCAUUUAUUUGGUGUGAUGGGAAAUCAGAACUGUUACUUUGAAAAAAUUAGAGUGUUUAAAGCAGGCUAACGUCUGAAUACAUUAGCAUGGAAUAAUGAAAUAGGACGGACUGAUUCUAUUUCGUUGGUUUCUAGGAUCACCGUAAUGAUUAAUAGGGAUAGUUGGGGGCAUUAGUAUUCAAUUGUCAGAGGUGAAAUUCUUGGAUUUAUUGAAGACUAACUACUGCGAAAGCAUUUGCCAAGGAUGUUUUCAUUAAUCAAGAACGAAAGUUAGGGGAUCGAAGACGAUCAGAUACCGUCGUAGUCUUAACCAUAAACUAUGCCGACUAGGGAUCGGACGAAGUUAAUUUUAUAAUGACGCGUUCGGCACCUUACG
rnacentral:rRNA from 1 species